CUUGAAUCAUGCAAUUCAUGGAACUUCAAAAUGAACAAAAUUCAAUAACAUCUAGAUCAGUGAACUCAUAUUAAAGGAUUAAACUUAGAUACCACCAAAUAGAACAAUAGAAUAUCAAUUCAAACGAUAAAUAAGAUAAUGAAACAACAAUCUUCGAAAUAGGGGAAAGCACGAUAUUAAGCAAAAUAGUAAAAUAAGGGAGAAAUAGACCUCAAACCGCUAGAACCCGGAUGGAACUCAAACCAGAAACCAAUAGACAGUGCCUUGAUGUAUGACUGAAACAUGCUCCUUGCACGACGACCUCCGAAGACCUCGAAGCGCGCCGAAAAACUUGAACUGAAUCAUAAAGACAAAACCAGCGAUCUCCAUAACAGUGACUCGCGAUUCGGAGCUGUUUCGGGCUAUUUCAAGUUGUUUUGAUGGAGGUUUCGAGCAAUGGAGCAAGGGCACUGAGCUUUACAGUUGGUGGAUAAGGGGAAUUUGGUUCAAGACUUUGUGAUGUGACGAAGAUGACGAUGGACGAGCUUAGCUCUCGCUCCUGGUCUCCCGUCUCUGUUGUUGUCCGUUUUCCCAACCCCAACAAAAAUAACAUUUGAAAAUAAAAGACGAAAAUCUAUAUUAACUUUGGAAUAUUUUGAAAUUUGAGGCAGAGAUAAAGCAAGACAAAUCUGAUUUGCUUUAUUUUUGCUCGUUCUUUCGUGUGUGUGUGUGUGUGCAAUUUUUUCGAGAAGAAGAGAAGGCUGGUUUUGGAGAUGAGUAGGUCUGGCGGAGAUGGCAGCGGGGCUAGUCCGUCGCAACUGUGUGUUAUGUGCGUUGAAGAUGAGAAGCAACGACGAUGGGAGGUUCUCUUGUUCAGGAAGGUGUUUUUGGUUGGUGUUGCAGCGGCAACGUCUUAGUCAAUCCAUGUUAGGUUCAGCUCCUAGGGUUUUUCUGUGGAUGCAUCUUUGUGUGAAGAAGAUAUAUUUUGGGUGUGUCUAGGCUUUAAGAUAAAAAACGGCUGAUCUUUUUUGGUCUCGGGCAUUAGUUUUUUUUCCAGGUUUAGGGUUUUAGGGAUAUUUUUAGGUAAGAGGAGUAUGAGCUUGGGAA
rnacentral:lncRNA from 1 species